rnacentral:rRNA from 1 species
UAGGGAAUCUUCGGCAAUGGACGAAAGUCUGACCGAGCAACGCCGCGUGAGUGAAGAAGGUUUUCGGAUCGUAAAACUCUGUUGGUAGAGAAGAACGUUGGUGAGAGUGGAAAGCUCAUCAAGUGACGGUAACUACCCAGAAAGGGACGGCUAACUACGUGCCAGCAGCCGCGGUAAUACGUAGGUCCCCGAGCGUUGUCCGGAUUUAUUGGGCGUAAAGCGAGCGCAGGUGGUUUAUUAAGUCUGGUGUAAA